CCUACGGGAGGCAGCAGUGGGGAAUAUUGGACAAUGGGGGGAACCCUGAUCCAGCGACGCCGCGUGAGUGAAGAAGUAUUUCGGUAUGUAAAGCUCUAUCAGCAGGGAAGAAAGAAAUGACGGUACCUUACUAAGAAGCCCCGGCUAACUACGUGCCAGCAGCCGCGGUAAUACGUAGGAGGCAAGCGUUAUCCGGAUUUACUGGGCGUAAAGGGAGCGUAGACGGCUAUGCAAGUCUGAAGCGAAAGGCGAAGGCUCAACCUCCGGACUACUUUGGAGACUGUAUGGCUUGAGUGCAGGAGGGGUAAGUGGAAUUCCUAGUGUAGCGGUGAAAUGCGUAGAUAUUAGGAGGAACACCAGUGGCGAAGGCGGCUUGCUGGACUGUAACUGACGUUGAGGCUCGAAAGCGUGGGGAGCAAACAGGAUUAGAUACCCGAGUAGUC
rnacentral:rRNA from 1 species